AUGCUCUGCCUCUCUAACCCUGUCUUAUAUUCUUGGCAAAGGUGUGGAGUGUUUGAGCUACAUUAAUUAUGUAUUGGUUUGGGGGUGCCAUAUCUAGUGUAAUGUGUCACCACGGUUUUCAAUUCAACA